rnacentral:rRNA from 1 species
GAUGAACGCUGGCGGCGUGCCUAAUACAUGCAAGUCGAACGGGGUGUUUGAGCAAUCGGACACUUAGUGGCGAACGGGUGAGUAACGCGUUGGUGACCUGCCCCAAAGCGGGGGAUAACAGCCUGAAAGGGUUGCUAAUACCGCAUAUGAUGAUGAGAGACUAGAAACUUAUCAUUAAAGGAGAAAUCCACUUUGGGAGGGGCCUGCGUCCCAUCAGCUAGUUGGUAGGGUAAAAGCCUACCAAGGCGAAGACGGGUAGGGGACCUGAGAGGGUGACCCCCCCAAAUGGAACUGAAACACGGUCCAUACACCUACGGGUGGCAGCAGUAGGGAAUAUUAGAAAUGGACGAAAGUCUGAUCUAGCAACACCGCGUGUGCGAAGAAGGCCUUCGGGUUGUAAAGCACUUUUUGGAAGGAUUAGGAAGGAAUGUACUUCCAGAAUAAGUCUCGGCUAACUACGUG